rnacentral:sRNA from 1 species
GAAUUUGUGUGCAAUUUCAACACUGUAUUGGAAGAGAUAUCAUUAUCCAAACAAAAUCUUUCCACGCCUCUUGAUUGUAUGAAAAAUCGUAAAUUUGAUAUUGGUUUAGUGAUAGAGAUAAUCCAAGAUUCAAUAUCAGAAGAGGAUAAGAGGUUGAUCUAUCUUGGAGAUGGAAGUGGAGACUAUUGUCCAAGUUUGAGGUUGAAAGAGAAGGACUUUAUGAUGCCAAGGAAGAACUUUCCAUUGUGGGAUCUGAUAUGCAGAGAUCCUUCACUUCUUAUGGCUGAGAUUCAUGGUUGGAGUGAUGGAGAAGAACUUGGAGAUGGAAGUGGAGACUAUUCUCCCUUCAUUUCCUCUUAUU